rnacentral:rRNA from 1 species
UACGUAGGUGGCAAGCGUUGUCCGGAUUUACUGGGCGUAAAGAGCGCGCAGGCGGUCGUUCAAGUCGAGUGUGAAAGCCCCCGGCUCAACUGGGGAGGGUCACUCGAUACUGAUCGACUCGAAGGCAGAAGAGGGAAGCGGAAUUCCCGGUGUAGUGGUGAAAUGCGUAGAUAUCGGGAGGAAUACCAGUGGCGAAGGCGGCUGCCUGGCCUGUUCUUGACGCUGAGGCGCGAAAGCUGGGGGAGCAAACGGG